rnacentral:rRNA from 1 species
CAGUCGCCACGGGAAUACGAAGGGGGCUAGCGUUGCUCGGAAUGACUGGGCGUAAAGGGCGCGUAGGCGGCGGCCAAAGUCAGGCGUGAAAUUCCCGGGCUCAACCUGGGGGCUGCGUUUGAUACUUGGUUGCUUGAGUGGGGAAGAGGGUCGUGGAAUUCCCAGUGUAGAGGUGAAAUUCGUAGAUAUUGGGAAGAACACCGGUGGCGAAGGCGGCGACCUGGUCCUUUACUGACGCUGAGGCGCGAAAGCGUGGGGAGCAAACAGGAUUAGAGACCCCUGUAGUCCCUGUCUCUUAUAC